rnacentral:rRNA from 1 species
CUACGGGCGGCUGCAGUAGGGAAUAUUGGGCAAUGGGCGCAAGCCUGACCCAGCAACGCCGCGUGCGCGAAGAAGGCCUUCGGGUCGUAAAGCGCUUUUCUGAGGGAUGAGAAAGGACAGUACCUCAGGAAUAAGCCUCGGCUAACUACGUGCCAGCAGCCGCGGUAAAACGUAGGAGGCGAGCGUUAUCCGGAUUUACUGGGCGUAAAGCGUGUGCAGGCGGUCUGGCAAGUUGGAUGUGAAGGCUCCCGGCUCAACUGGGAGAGGUCGUUCAAAACUACCGGAUUAGAGUGUAGCAGAGGGAGAUGGAAUUCCCGGUGUAGUGGUGAAAUGCGUAGAUAUCGGGAGGAACACCAGUGGCGAAAGCGAUCUUCUGGGAUACUACUGACGCUCAGACACGAAAGCUAAGGUAGCGAACGGGAUUAGAUACCCUUGUAGUC